CUCUACUGCGUCAUGCCAAACACUGCCACCCAUUGGUCAGCCGUAGGAAGUGCAUCCCAAAUAUCUCAAAACCAAGAUGGCCGACGGACGCACAGAUACUUGUGAUACAUGCUAGAAACCGAUUAGCUCAGGAAUAUCUUGCCAAUCCUUCUAUAGCAGGAGACCUUUGCAGGUCGGAUCAAUCGAGGGGCAGGUUUUGUCUUGGAAAUCUAUGCCUCCAAUUUGCUGCAGGAUCCAGACUAUAAAAGUGGAGCUGAUGUGGUGAUGCUGCUCAGAACUGCUGUGAUGGUCUAACCAGAGGAACUCCUGCUAAACUGCAUGGAAACGGCACAAGUUGAGCAGGAGCUGCCAGGACAGCAGACUGGAACCUACAGGUGACCCCUGGCAGUGAUCUCAAUAAUCACGGAAGACACUGCUGCUGAAGACAAGGACGUGUGGGGAUUACACAAAAGGAAGCGAGCUAGAAGAACAACGGGCAAGGGGGCAUCCUGGAUCCGAAGGGGAGGGCUCUCGGGAGCUGAGAGGGAUGCACGGCCAUCUCCCACACGUUCCUGCCUCGAACAAUGCCGAUCAGAAGGGGAAGGCCAUGGCGCAGUGAGCUAAGGCGUUCACUGCACGCUCACCAUGUCACACUUUUCAGUUUGGCUCACACCCUGCUGUAUGUUGCAUUUCACCUGGGUUUAUCUCUUUUCUGUCUGCUGCAUCGUUGCACAUCAUUAAAUGUAGAUUGAGUAGACACUGCAGAUUGACUAUAUAUUGUUGAAAUCUCUGGGGUUUGGAGGAUGGGGAUGUAGUGGCAUGAAUGCUGUUUUAAGGAUCAUGUGACAGAGUUAAGGCAGGAUGAUCUGAGCCAUCUAGAUGGAUUACAGGAAACUGUCAUCUUUUAGCAACAGAGGCCUCAUUGUAUCAGUAUUGACCAUUGACACGAGGGCUACAUUAUUUUUUGCAAUUGCCUAAAUUUAACCAUCAAAUAUUAGUCAUUAUUGCCAACCUUUAAUAUGAUUAGGGCUGUCCUCGACUAAAGAAAUUCUUAGUCGACUAACACUUUUACAAUUUUGUCGACUAAUCGAUUAGUUGAUUUAAUUGACAGAGCUGUGCGCUUUGAGAGGUGGUUAAGACUAGAAAACCACAAUAUAAAUGUGGUUAAUUAACCAUCUGUAAAACUGAGUUUCUCCACAAUUAAUCCUGGAAAAAAAACCACUUUAAAUCUUGUGUUUACCAUAAAUGUGCUCAUAAGUUUCUUGGAAAUGAGUAAUUAAGCAUGAAUAAGCAUAAAAAAUGACUAAUCAACUAAAGAAAUCUUAGUCGACUAAGACCAAAACGACCGAUUAGUCGACUAAUCGACUAAGAGGUGGCAGCCCUAAAUGUGAUGCUACUUGUUUGCUCACAUAUAAAGCACUUAUUAUGGUCUCAUGUUAACGAGGCCACAAUAAGCAUUUUGAUCCGAGUCCACACAAGUAAGACAUAUAAAUGACUUUUAUUCUGCUUUUCAAUGGAUGGCCUAAAUGCUAUUUUAAAUGACUUCCCACUUCAGUGGAAUAACAUAUCUUUCAGGUUUUUAGCAUCACAGCUAAUUAUUUAGCAAUCCAGUACCAUAACGAUUAGCACAGUUAGAUUUGAAAAAAACAGCUUCAGGUGAAAUGCUAAUUGGCAUCCUGAGCCACUAGCUGACUAAAACUAAUAGGCAGUGGCACUGCUGCUGUUAAAAAAAUAGCAGCUGGUUAGCAGCAGUAGCUUAUGAGAGAUAAUGCUAAUGCUGCUGUGAUAGCAUUAACCUCUUCAUACACCAGUGGAUACUGUUAGGUAAAGAAGCUUCUGUCAGUGUGAUAGCUCUUUGUUUCUCCAGCGGGCAUGGCUGUCUGUGUGUGUGUGUGUGUGUGUACCUUUCUUAAUGGAGAGCAGCACAGAGUAAUGUUGAGAGCGUGACCAUGACAGCUCUGUACAUUAUGUGCUUGACCUCAAUGAACCCUCAGCGAUGUUAAAACUCACUCAGUCAUGCUAACACAAAUGUAAAGGUGGCAGUAACAACACACUCACCAGGCAGCUAGUGAUGUCCACUGAGAAUAAUCUGCAGCGCCUUUUGUCGCUAGACGACAACGAUGACAUCGCCACCAUCCAUGAUUCACAUGUGAAGUGCUUCUGAAUAUGCAACUGAUUUUAGUGUCGACCUGCAACAUGAUUGGCAAGCACACUUUGUCCUAGACAGUAACAAGGAUCCCACUUGCUGACUUUGAAUAACAGUUCAGUUGGUCAUAGUAGCAAAGUAGCACAUGGCAACUCUUAAGGGCACAUGUCCAUUUUUGUGUGAGCCACGAGGUUCUUUUCUUUCUCCGAGUGGUAAUUGAAGGGUUCGUUUUCCAUGUUGUCGCCCUCAUUUGCACCUUGCAGUUUGCUCUCAGGGGUCCAUCACUCUCCUGAGAUCCAUUUGCAGCAUAUUGUUUAGGAGCAGCUCUUUGACAGGGUGAUUCAUCGAUAUUUGACUUAGGCCCAUCACACCAUAACUAAUAUUUUGUUUUAAUGGGGCGUAGCGGGAAUUUUGAUGAUAACUCAACUUCAUGGACACUUCCCUUCAUUGAAAUGAAUUCUAAACUCCAUGCACUUGUGGAUAUAAGAUUUUAGGCAGUGGAAAUUGUGCUGGGUGCUGGACAUUAGUUGUGCUAAUGGCUAUUGUAAGGCCCUACAAAGCUGCUUAUGAAAAACUUAUUUUUAUUUGGUUUUUGUUUUACAUGAUGUAAUAUUAGAUAUUACGUUAUUACAUACCUAGAUUCCUAUAUGAAUUUUCUUUUUUAUUCAGACACGCUUGAAUUCAAAGAUUGCAUUGCUGCGCCUGUGUGCAACAAAGAGCUGUCAUUUCAAGUCAUUGUGAAGCUGAAGCUUUAUUUAUUUUGAUCUUUUUGACAUAAUAGACAUAUUUGGUUUUACUCUUGGCCUUGAAAGCUAUAUUUAAUAAUUUUCCCUCCCUCAGUGCCAUUUAUUCCACUGACAAAAUACUGGAUAUGAUUUGCUGAUGUGUUGCAAAAGAUGCUUCAUUCUGUCUCAAUGUAUUAACCGGGAUUGUGUUGAGUCCCACAGAUGCUUCCGUCCUGUUGUUAAUGAACUAAUAUGGAUUUUAACUUGAACCCCCCCACCCCCCCCCUGCACUGCUAAUCUGCUGCUUUAGCAAUUAUCUUAUGUAACCCCUCUGUCAGCCCCCUCUCUCUCUUUUUCUACCAUCUCUCUGCCUCAAAAUCGUUUUUUAUUUGUUCAGUUCGGUGAACAAACACUAACCUGGAGCGAGUUAGUGUCUAGCCGGUAAGCUCGAAAAGGGGCUGCAGGCUUGCUCUCCAUUGUUUGGCUGCAUCGCAGACUGUCUGUACACUGUGUCCCCAUGGCCGAGGCAGAAAUGGAGGACAGACAGACAGACAGCUGUUUCAUCGCCUCAAUGUUGAUAGAAUCUUUUGCAAAAAAGACUAUUUGCCGAUAAGUGUCGUCAACUCCUGACACAAUGGAGAUGAUGCGGUUUGCAUGUGCUGAAUUCCGAACAUUUGAGACAGAUUCAAUGAAAAUGUUCUUCUGUGAUUGAGUGGUGACUCUUUGGGAACCUUUAACCCAGCAGCUUCAGGUGUGUAAGUCAGUCAGUAAAACCUGCAUUGACACCUGCUUUACUGAGAUCCUGUACCAAUAAAUCUCAGAUAUUUACUAGUCUAGAUUUCAGUUUCAGUUUAGUAUCCCAAAAUGGUAUCCAUUGAUUCCAAAUGCCAUCAGGCAGCUCUUGAUUGAUUGAAGUCCAUUUUAAGGUUGGACUUUUGUUAAGGUGGACUGUGAAAGAUGCAGUCAAAAGGGAGUGUGUAAUAGUUCAAGUGUAUGUUAGGAGGGUAUGUUGGAUGGGUUGCUGCAGGGUUACGCCCAAAGUGCCUCAGGGGAAAUGUUUGCACGUGUUUGCACGUUUAGAUAAAAGUAAAGGUUAAAAUAUUGAUCAGAGAGAUUGAUAAGAGAGAGAAAAAAGCAUUGAAUGAGGCGACAAAAGGCUACAAUAAGCCUACACAUCUCUUUGUGGAAGCAGGGGUGGUUUCUCUCCGUGUCACCAUUCUGCAGUUUUUUCUGCCACUCCCUUCAACACACUGCCUCGGCUCAGCUAAAGGCGUGUGAAGCACACUCAUCAAUAAUCAGAGCUGGUCAGCGCUUGUGUGUGUGUGUGUGUGUGUGUGUGUGUGUGUGUGUGUGCGCUUCUUUAAGUAUCUGUCAGCAUGUCUGUAAUGUCUGUUUGUGUGUGUUUAGCAGUUCUUCCCACUGCAGAGGGGUUCACUACCCCUUCCUUCCAGUCUGUUGGCGUAACAAGAUGGCGUCGCAGCUCCACGUGGGCCCUCCUGCGCUGGUUAAUGCCCGUUACCUAUGCCACCGGAAAGCCAUAGGUACCCUUGAGGCGUAUUUACUCGCCACAUAGCUGAAAUUGCUGAGGCACUUCUCGGUACUGUAGCUUGGCCGACUUUAGGACAUUUACGAUUUGGGGCGGAUCCAGUGUUUUCAUUGUUUUUCCUGUUGUUGUUGGUUUUUUUUUAUCACUGUCUGUGUAUCAGCUGCCAAACUUUUGUCUGCAAUUUGGGCAGUUUUAAAUGUGCUGGAGGGGUGAACGAGUAUGUUUUCACCACGAUAUAGCAUGAUUGGAGGAGCCUAAGACCCAAGAUUUUCAGUGAUAAUGACUGCUUCUGUAAUUGUUGUGCAUCUGACAAUAAAUAAACUGAAACAUUGUGUGUGUGUGUGUGUGUGUGUGUGUGUGUGUGUGUGUGUGUGUGUGUGUCUCUCUGACUCCGGCUAAGGCCAGUUUAAAGGAGCUUGGGAAUAGUGCGCACAGCCACAUCACACCAGCAGAUUAACCAGACUACACAUUAUUAAUCUGAGAGAGACUAAUGUCACCAACAAUGUGUCAGCAGUCACACAUACACAAAAACACACUUAAAAACACGUAGUUAAAUCUGUGCACUUUUUCUCUUCCUUAUAGUAACCCAGGUAGUGGUGUGACUGGAGGCCGAGGCCGAGCCUGUCUCCUCCUCAGUGUCAGCGUUGCCCUGCUCCAGGUCAUGUUGGGUUUAAAGACAGGCUGGAAAUCCCCUGAUGAAUCCACAUUUAACCCUUUGCUGCCACGUCAACCAAGAAGCUAAAGAAAUACUUGUUUGGGGUGUUUGAAGGAGAAGAGCUUAAGCACGUUAGCUGCGGUUAACAUUUUGGAUCAUUUUCUGCCUCAACAGCCUUAAUACCAGGAAGCUGUGCAGAUGUGAUCAGCUAUUGCGUGCACAGAGAGAUUUGAUUCGGGGGUUUCAAGUUGGUUUCUUAUUCUUUUUUCAACUGAGUUGGCAAGAUUUUGAGGAACUGUGUCUGUAAUCUAUUUGAUGGUGAUGGGCAUGUCACGUAGCAGCUGGAUCACAACAAGAUAUACCACCAACAAAUCUACACAAUUUGAGACUUUGAUUAUAUCUGGGUUGUUUAAAAAGAUGUUAAAACAUCUACGUACCUGUAGCACCAUAACAAUCUUUGAGACAAUAUGGAAAUUUCUUUUUUAUGAAUUUUACUUCUUUUUUUUUCACAAUUUCACAAUUGGUCAAUUGACAAAUCUCUAAAAUAAACUUUUAAACCCCACACAGGGAAAUUGAAGUGCCACAGCAGCAAAAGGAAGUACAAGAUGAGAUGCACAGUAUUUAAAAAAAAAAAAAAAACUACAAUACUACAUACAUUAUGUUUUUAUUCUAGAAUUGAAUUCUAUUUUGUAUGGCUUUUUUUUUUUUUUUUUUUUUUUUUUUUCAUGGGAAUCCUGACUAGAUGUUAUGUUCAACAAUAACAUAACAUAUGAUAACACCACUUUCUUCCUUGUAAUAAAUAUAGCAGUGAUGUGAGAGAAGUACAGUAAGCCCAGUGUUCUCUUCAGAAGCCUGGUAUUGAAAUAGAGACGUCUUACAGACCUAAGGAAAUACAUGUCAUUUCACUUGAUUGUCAAGUCUUGUGAUGCUUAUCAGUAGAACCUCUAAAUGAGUUGUGGGAGUUUUCUAGGCAGACAUGUCAUCUGUCAUGAUUUAUAUUUUUAUCUUUAGAGUUAAUUUUUUUUUACCUUUUUAAAGUCUUGAAUCUGUUACGACAAGAUUAAUUCUUCGGUGUGAUUUUUGUUUCUGCAGAGCUGACAAGACGUAUUACAACAUCCUCUCUGCUGACCACGAAGACAUCGGACAGUAAAUGGACCGAGAAAAAAAGACAUUAAUAAAGACAGUUGACAAGCAAGUUCUCAGUAGACAGGAUGCUUGCAGUAAUUAGUCCAUAUGAUCUGCAAUUGGAUGGUCCAUGGUCCAUGCCUAUUAGACCAGGUCAGGACACGUCGGGGAAUGGUACAUGAACAUGAGACGGAUAUGACAGCCAUACUGGAGCAAGCCUCAACUGUUCAUAUACACACUUACUGAGAUACUUAAAUGUUUUCCAUAGUCAUUUACAUGUAUUUUCCUUUGUAAAACAAAAUAUAUUUAAUGCUAAUAAAAUAUUUAUUAAAAAUACCCUCCUUUUGUGUUAUUCCAAGAAAUGCACCAUUCUAAAAUUGUAUCAUCCUUAGCAUAUUAAGUGUGCUAGUAUUUGAUAUUCUAUGCAUAGCUAUGUGUUCGUAUUUGCCAUGUCUUAACAGCUCCAUGCUAACCUUUUUGGCACAUAGUAUGUUAAGCGAUAGCUGGCAUCAUAUUAGCACUAAACACUUUAUGUGAUAGUAUAUUACAAACUAACAUUUUAGUGUACACUAUUCUGGGAAAUAAUGCUUCAUGCUAGCCUUGGUCUAUUACAGUAGCAUACACAGUGUUGAGUGGUAGAAGGCUUCUUAACCCUUUCUAACAUACAUUAUACUAUAUGAUAGCAAACUCAAAGCUAAUAUUCACAUUUACACUAUUGAGUGAUAAUGCUCUGUGCUAACACUCUAGUUAGUAAGCAUUAAAGUAAGACUAAUCAUGCUAACAUUAUAGCAUUCAUUAAGUGAGUGAGCUUCUAUGCUAUGCUAUAAUUCCACCCUUGUAUGCUCUAUGAUGCUGCAGAUUAUCAAUCCAUGGCAUUUAUUCCAGUCCAUUCAAGUUGUUCAGUGAUGACGUGUCAACUUUUUGUGGUGUCCACUGAACUUCAACCUGCAACCUCUACCUCAGUGAUUCACCACAUUUCCAAGAAUGACUUUCAACACCCCAAGAGUUCGUGCCUGGACUUGUUAUUGCCAGCUUUUGGUUUUACAUUGGAUAAAGUGAUAACGACAGGGAAACAGGCACAUACUGUCAGGCUGAUACAGAAAGAGAGUUAGUAACAGAAACAGAAACAGAGUGAAAUUUUCUGACUAAAAAAACAACACAGCCAUGUCUCUUCUUCAGAGCACAGCAUGUCCUUUAGCUGUAUUGCAUUAUAGGUAAUUAGGGCUACUGUAAAAUAGAUAGCUCUUGCUUUUUCAUCUUAUUAUGAAAUUAAUUAUUGUAGAAAGAAGCCCUACAAUGCAAAAAAAAAUGUAUGUAAUCCAUUGUAUGUUAUUGAUUAACUGAAAGAUUUUCUCAUAUUAUUCCAUCAGAAGUGUUCUCUACACAACAUCAUAUAAUCUACAUUUGGCUUUAUAGACAUUUAGGUGAGAUUAUAAUACCAUACCCCAUAUUUGCAAACCUUUUCUGUGUUAUGCUUAUUGGAUUUAGACCAUGUUUACAGUCCUUGGUAAGUGACAGACAGCAGCAUGAGAUCCAGAUGUGCCUUUUAAUUUGUUGAAGAUAAUAAAAAAAUGAAAUUGUAUCUUGUUCAUAAUUGGUAGUUUUGUCCUUUUAGACGGAUACAAAUUUUUAAUUUGUUGACUUUCUACAAAUUAUAUUCG